ACCGGCAAACGGGUGAGGAACAUGUACGCAACCUUCCUUUAACUGGAGAAUAGCCCCUCGAAAGAGGGAUUAAUACUCCGUAACAUAUUGAUAAGACAUCUUAUUAAUAUUAUAGCUCCGGCGGUUAAAGAUGGGCGUGCACCUGAUUAGAUAGUUGGUGGGGUAACGGCCCACCAAGUCUGCGAUCAGUAACUGGUGUGAGAGCACGACCAGUCACACGGGCACUGAGACACGGGUCCGACUCCUACGGGAGGCAGCAGUAAGGAAUAUUGGUCAAUGGACGCAAGUCUGAACCAGCCAUGCCGCGUGGAGGAUUAAGGCCCUCUGGGUUGUAAACUCCUUUUAUAUGGGAAGAAAUGCAUCUUUUCUUGGGUGCUUGACGGUACCAUAGGAAUAAGCACCGGCUAACUCCGUGCCAGCAGCCGCGGUAAUACGGAGGGUGCAAGCGUUAUCCGGAUUCACUGGGUUUAAAGGGUGCGUAGGCGGACAGGUAAGUCAGUGGUGAAAUCUCCGGGCUUAACCCGGAAACUGCCGUUGAUACUAUUUGUCUUGAAUAUUGUGGAGGUAAGCGGAAUAUGUCAUGUAGCGGUGAAAUGCUUAGAUAUGACAUAGAACACCAAUUGCGAAGGCAGCUUACUACACAAUGAUUGACGCUGAGGCACGAAAGCGUGGGGGAUCAAACAGGAUUAGAUACCCUGGUAGUCCACGCCCU
rnacentral:rRNA from 1 species